rnacentral:rRNA from 1 species
GACGAACGCCGGCGGCGUGCUUAACACAUGCAAGUCGAACGGAAAGGCCCUGCUUUUGUUGUUUCCUCGAGUGGCGCACGCGUGAGUAACACGUGUGUAACCUGCCCUUGACUUUGGGAUAACUUCAUGAAACUCGGUCUCAUACCCGACAUGAGCUCCUGCUGCAUGGUAUGUGUUCGAAAAAUUCGGCGGUUGGGGAUGGCCGCGGGGCUCAUCGUCUUGUUGGCUGGGUAGUGGCUGACCAAGGCUGUGACGGGUAGCUGGCCAGAGAGGGUGACCGGCGACCUGGGGACUGCGAUACGGCGCAGACGGCAACGGGAGGCAGCAGUGGGGAAUAUUGCAGAAUGGGCGGAAGCCUGAUGCAGAGGCGCCGCGUGCGGGAUGACGGGCUGCGGGUUGUAAACCGCUUUCGCAUGGGAAGAAGCGUGAGUGACGGUAAUGGGUAAAGAAGCACCGGCUAACUACGUG